rnacentral:rRNA from 1 species
CCUACGGGGGGCUGCAGUGAGGAAUAUUGGUCAAUGGGAGAGAUCCUGAACCAGCCAAGCCGCGUGAGGGAAGACGGCCCUAUGGGUUGUAAACCUCUUUUGUCGGAGAACAAAACCCGGGACGUGUCCCGGACUGCGUGUACCCGAAGAAAAAGCAUCGGCUAACUCCGUGCCAGCAGCCGCGGUAAUACGGAGGAUGCGAGCGUUAUCCGGAUUUAUUGGGUUUAAAGGGUGCGUAGGCGGUCCGUUAAGUCAGUGGGAAAAUUGCGGGGCUCAACCCCGUCGAGCCGUUGAAACUGGCAGACUUGAGUUGGCGAGAAGUACGCGGAAUGCGCGGUGUAGCGGUGAAAUGCAUAGAUAUCGCGCAGAACUCCGAUUGCGAAGGCAGCGUACCGGCGCCAGACUGACGCUGAGGCACGAAAGCGUGGGGAUCGAACAGGAUUAGAUACCCCAGUAGUC